CGAACGAACGCUGGCGGCGCGUCUUAAGCAUGCAAGUCGAACGGCAAGGAAGUGCUUGCACUUCCCUAGAGUGGCGGACUGGUGAGUAACACGUGGGUGACAUACCUUUUAGUUGGGGAUAGCUAUUAGAAAUAGUAGAUAAUACCGAAUGUGACCAUUACAGUUAGAGUGUAAUGAGGAAAGGAGCUAAGGCUCCGCUAAAAGAUUGGCCCGCGGCCCAUUAGCUAGUUGGUGAGGUAACGGCCCACCAAGGCGAUGAUGGGUAUCCGGCCUGAGGAGGGUGAUCGGACACAUUGGGACUGAGAUACCGGCCCAGACUCCGUACGGGAGGCAGCAGCUAAGAAUAUUCCACAAUGGACGAAAGUCUGAUGGAGCGACGCCGCGUGGAUGACGAAGGCCGAAAGGUUGUAAAAUCCUUUUAAACUGGAAGAAUAAUCAUGGUAGGGAAUGACCGUGAGGUGACCGUACAGUUUGAAUAAGCAACGGCUAAUUACGUG
rnacentral:rRNA from 1 species